rnacentral:rRNA from 1 species
GCUUGUCUCAAAGAUUAAGCCAUGCAUGUCUUAGUGUAAAUAACUCUUAUGAAACUGCGAAUGGCUCAUUAAAUCAGUUAUCGUUUAUUUGAUGGUCCCUUACUACAUGGAUAACCGUAGUAAUUCUAGAGCUAAUACAUGCACAAAGGCCCGACUCACGAAGGGCUGUAUUUAUUAGAUAACAAAUCAAUAUUCCCCGUGUCUAUUGUGAUGACUCAUAGUAACUGAUCGAAUCGCAUGGUCCUUGACCGCGAUACAUCAUUCAAGUUUCUGCCCCAUCAGCUUUCGAUGGUAGUGUAUUGGACUACCAUGGCUUUAACGGGUAACGGAGGAUUAGGGUUCGAUUCCGGAGAGGGAGCCUGAGAAACGGCUACCACAUCUAAGGAAGGCAGCAGG